GAUGAACGCUGGCGGCGUGCCUAAUACAUGCAAGUCGAACGCACAGCGAAAGGUGCUUGCCCCUUUCAAGUGAGUGGCGAACGGGUGAGUAACACGUGGACAACCUGCCUCAAGGCUGGGGAUAACAUUUGGAAACAGAUGCUAAUACCGAAUAAAACUUAGUGUCGCAUGACACAAAGUUAAAAGGCGCUUCGGCGUCACCUAGAGAUGGAUCCGCGGUGCAUUAGUUAGUUGGUGGGGUAAAGGCCUACCAAGACAAUGAUGCAUAGCCGAGUUGAGAGACUGAUCGGCCACAUUGGGACUGAGACACGGCCCAAACUCCUACGGGAGGCUGCAGUAGGGAAUCUUCCACAAAGGGCGAAAGCCUGAUGGAGCAACGCCGCGUGUGUGAUGAAGGCUUUCGGGUCGUAAAGCACUGUUGUAUGGGAAGAACAGCUAGAAUAGGAAAUGAUUUUAGUUUGACGGUACCAUACCAGAAAGGGACGGCUAAAUACGUG
rnacentral:rRNA from 1 species